GGUGUGUUGGCUCAGUCAGUAGAGCAUCCACCUCACAACCAGGAGGUCGUGGGUUCGAACCCCAGUCACGUCA
rnacentral:tRNA from 1 species